UUUAAAUUCUAACGAAGAAUGAAACUGUCUCAUGCUGGAUAUCUUGCUUUACGUCUUACCAUCGCACAGAAUGUCCCAGCUGCGAGACAACAUUCUGACAA